AUUGAACGCUGGCGGCAGGCCUAACACAUGCAAGUCGAACGGUAACAGGAAGAAGCUUGCUUCUUUGCUGACGAGUGGCGGACGGGUGAGUAAUGUCUGGGCAACUGCCUGAUGGAGGGGGAUAACUACUGGAAACGGUAGCUAAUACCGCAUAACGUCGCAAGACCAAAAAGGGGGACCUUCGGGCCUCUUGCCAUCGGAUGUGCCCAGAUGGGAUUAGCUAGUAGGUGGGGUAACGGCUCACCUAGGCGACGAUCCCUAGCUGGUCUGAGAGGAUGACCAGCCACACUGGAACUGAGACACGGUCCAGACUCCUACGGGAGGCAGCAGUGGGGAAUAUUGCACAAUGGGCGCAAGCCUGAUGCAGCCAUGCCGCGUGGAUGAAGAAGGCCUUCGGGUUGUAAAGUACUUUCAGCGGGGAGGAAGGGAGUAAAGUUAAUACCUUUGCUCAUUGACGUUACCCGCAGAAGAAGCACCGGCUAACUCCGUG
rnacentral:rRNA from 1 species